ensembl:snoRNA
ACCUUCCUGAUUUCUUGCCCCACCAGAUCUGAAUCUUGGUCUGGGUGGCUAAACAAGGAGGAAAAGUAAAACUGAGGUGGACUUGGAAUCUUUAGUGUCCUUCAAGUUCAUUUCAAACACCC